rnacentral:rRNA from 1 species
AACGAACGCUGGCGGCAUGCCUAAUACAUGCAAGUCGAGCGAACAGAUGAAGUGCUUGCACUUCUGACGUUAGCGGCGAACGGGUGAGUAACACGUAAGGAAUCUACCUAUAAGCGGGGGAUAACAUUCGGAAACGGGUGCUAAUACCGCAUAAUAUCUUCUUCCGCAUGGAAGAAGAUUGAAAGACGGCUCUGCUGUCACUUAUAGAUGACCUUGCGGUGCAUUAGUUAGUUGGUGGGGUAACGGCCUACCAAGACGAUGAUGCAUAGCCGACCUGAGAGGGUGAUCGGCAACAUUGGGACUGAGACACGGCCCAAACUCCGACGGGAGGCAGCAGUAGGGAAUCUUCCGCAAUGGGCGAAAGCCUGACGGAGCAAUGCCGCGUGAGUGAAGAAGGCCUUCGGGUCGUAAAACUCUGUUAUAAGAGAAGAACAAAUUGUAGAGUAACUGCUACGGUCUUGACGGUAUCUUAUCAGAAAGCCACGGCUAACUACGUGCCAGCAGCCGCGGUAA